UACUGUAUCUAUUAAUUAAAAGGAGUUACCAGCCCUGGUACUACUGGUUAAUCCCAGGAUGCUCUCUAUUUUUUGCUGGGUUCAGGCCAACAUUUGGGGUCCAGUUAGUAGGUAUAAUGGUAAGGGGUUCCAUUAUUGACAGAGCCCAAAACACAUAUAAUAUGUCUAAUAUGUCACAAUAGAGCUCAGAUGUUACACUUGAAGUGGGAUUCAGACCCAGAAACAUAGAGAAUAUGCAGUUAUAUUUCAACUGCAGUACAUAAAAUUUAAAGUGACAGGGACUUUUAAUGAAUUACUUAGUUUUUUAGAAUUUCAUUUUCUCUAAUUAUGCAAAAGACUUUUUGGGUUGCAUUCAAUAUAACUUUUCAGCUAUGAACAGUGAACCAGUGAUCAAUAGCUGUAUUUGGCGGAAUAAUAUCACAAAUACUGCUCACUGACUGAAAAAGCAUACAAAGCUACAUGCACCUGUGAACGAAGAUGUACCCGAAGCACAGCCUUCUAAUUUCAGCAUGAUUCCAGCUAUGUUAAGCCUUCAGAAUGCCAUUGGACUAAGAUGGGAAAAGUUCUAGAAACCUAACAGGACUGCAGCACUGGCUCUGCUGCUUUUCAACUACUAGUGAGAACAAGCCCUAAAUAUUUCAGAUGUGACACCCUGAUAGCAGUACAGCUCUGCAAGAUGCACCAGGAUCUGGUAAUCUUAAUAAAAGCAACAUGGAUAUGUUUGUCUACACAGGCUUAAAGAAACACAUUUAUUAUCAGAGAGCAGCACAAAGCGUACAAGAAAUAACUUGUGCAACUGUGAACAUAUGACAUUAGAGAUAUAUGAAUGAGUGGUUUUCUUUUUAGCUGUCAGAUUUGGUGAGAAAAAUUAAGUUUUCCUGGGAUUAAGAACAAGCAGCCUGUCUUGCUGCGAUAAAAUCCACCUUGGUCCCCGCGGGUUUAUAUGGAUGAAAGAGGCUACAGUUGACCAACAAGGACUUUGGCAGGCAUUUGUGCGUGUGAAUGAGGGAAGCUGCCCUAGUGAUCUCAGACUGUGUUGGAUCAUUGUUGGAUAUCUUCCUUCCUUGUGAAUUAGGACAAUGGGAGUACUCUGCAUUAUUCUCCAUAUUUCAUGUCAAUUUGUAACAAACCAGAAUGUCAGUUUUUAACAAACCAGAAUGUAAAAGGAAAGAGGGACAAUGUAUUAAGGUAAUAGUUAUAAAGCACUAUAAUAGUAUGUUGGAUUAAGUGAAAGGUGUAUGUUCUGCAGAACUUUUCAUUCUCAAGCUCCUAAUAACAUGUGGAUGUCCCCUGUUGAAUUUUCUCAUCUUUCUCAAUUUAAUAUUGUUCAUUAGUUGUUCAUUAAUAUUGUUAUUUGCAUUGCAAAUUUUAAGGCUUGAAGGUAGCGUAAACUUUUGGAGCAAGCAACUUUUCAUUAAGAAGUUUUAUUACAUACACUGCGCACUGUCGCAAGCAAUAAAAUGUGCAAACUUUUCUAAGCAGUUUCCACAUUCGCAAAGCCCAUAUAAGAUUUGCGCAAAGCAAAUUUGUUUGCACAGAGGCAUACAUUUUUGCAUUGCUAAUAAUUUUCUGUUACCGACUUUUAUUACAUUCCCCCAUGCUUUUUAUGACAUAACCCCUUUUAUAGAAAAGCAACUAUUUAUAAAUACGUGCGCCGGUAUAUUUUCUGACUCUGCACAACAUGGUCAGAGACAGCACAGGACACACCUUAGUGCUGCUUUUCUGGGGACUUUCUAUAUUGCCCUUCGGUAAAAAGUCCCUUUCGUACCAAGAGUUACCUUUAUCUGAUCAGAUGCAUUUUGUUUUGUGCUUGGAGAAACAUUCCAGGAAUAUUUAAUGCUUCAAAAGUCUGGGCCUCCGUGGGGCUUGCUUGCUUGCUUUGAAUACAUCUGCGGCGAAAAUGCUAAUGUUUGUGUCUCAAUUGCAAGCAUUUCCGACAGUUAGUACUUUAUUUUAUUGCUUCUAGAGGACUUAAAGAGAAACAGAAGUCUUCUGUAUGAAGAAUUAGUUAAGACAUCCGCACACAUGCAAGCUCAAACAAACACAUACAAAGAGUCUAUUUUUAGGGAUUAAAGGGUAAGUACAGGCUCAGCAUCGGCAUAUGUAUUUUAUUUUAGAUGAGUAGCUUUCAACCAAUUUUUAUACUUUUUUACUUAGUAUUCACAGUAUUUCUGUGUUGACUGCUGGGAUCCAGGGCUAAUACUGUAAUGUAGCACCCUCUAUCACUGGAAGGUUAGCAGAUCAUUUAGAACAAUAGAUAACCAUACAUACCUUGAACAAUUUUAACCAAUUGUGCCUAUACUGCCAGACCACCUGACCAUGUAUUUCGCCAUGUUUGUGUGUGUAUAGGGAUGGAAAGGGAUUUAAACAGAGCAUCCCGGAUGGUAUUUGUGUGCUGCUUCUUUGCUGUAAA